rnacentral:rRNA from 1 species
UACGUAGGGUGCAAGCGUUGUCCGGAAUUAUUGGGCGUAAAGAGCUCGUAGGCGGUUUGUCGCGUCGAAUGUGAAAACCCGGGGCUCAACCCCGGGCCUGCAUUCGAUACGGGCAGACUAGAGUUCGGUAGGGGAGACUGGAAUUCCUGGUGUAGCGGGUGAAAUGCGGCAGAUAUCAGGAGGAACACCGAUGGCGAAGGCAGGUCUCUGGGCCGAUACUGACGCUGGAGGAGCGAAAGCGUGGGGAGCGAACAGG